AGGUUGGCUCAAUGGUUAAGAGCACUGAUUGCUCUUCCAGAGGAUCUGGGUUCAAUUCCCAGCACCUA
rfam:Mus musculus chromosome 5, GRC primary reference assembly.